GAGUUUGAUCUUGGCUCAGGACGAACGCUGGCGGCGUGCUUAACACAUGCAAGUCGAACGGGAAAUAUUUCAUUGAGACUUCGGUGGAUUUGAUCUAUUUCUAGUGGCGGACGGGUGAGUAACGCGUGGGUAACCUGCCUUAUACAGGGGGAUAACAGUCAGAAAUGGCUGCUAAUACCGCAUAAGCGCACAGAGCUGCAUGGCUCAGUGUGAAAAACUCCGGUGGUAUAAGAUGGACCCGCGUUGGAUUAGCUUGUUGGUGGGGUAACGGCCCACCAAGGCGACGAUCCAUAGCCGGCCUGAGAGGGUGAACGGCCACAUUGGGACUGAGACACGGCCCAGACUCCUACGGGAGGCAGCAGUGGGGAAUAUUGCACAAUGGGGGAAACCCUGAAUGCAGCGACGCC
rnacentral:rRNA from 1 species